GGAAAGGUGGCCACCGCUGGGAGUGCUGACCGAGAGAUGCUGCGAGAACUGGCAGAAUCCUUAAAACUAUUCAAAUGACCUCAUUUGAUUAAUAUGGCAGUGGAAGCCCAGAGUUUCAUCACCAGAGCUGUCAAUAACAUGGAGAGAAAAUGAAACCUCGACAAAGCAUGUAUUGACUCGAAUGGCUGAAGAGUACAGAGGUAUCAGCUUCAGGUCCAACCUUACAUUAUAAAGAGGCUGAGUCUGGUGGACAACUUCGUUGCAUUUUGGGCAUCUGUUGCUAUAGUAAAAAUGUCUCACAA
rnacentral:lncRNA from 1 species